ACUUCCUGGAUUGAAAAGAAGCAGCUGCCAACAAUCUCCAACUUUUGAAGUGUACAAGUCUCAGCUGGUGCAGCAGAGUGCUGUUCCACCAAAAUGAGUUGAGCCAUUGCAAUCCACAGCUGCAGACAAACCUUCACUGGACAGCCUCUUACACAGGAGAAAAAAACUGGAAGCAGUAUUUAUCGCAAAUAGCAAGCAUUGAUCCCUUAUGAAGAGGUACCAGAAGGAAGUUCAAUGGAGCAAAAAUGGAACCAGCACCGAAAUGCAGAUCCCAUCCCUCCUUGUUACAGUAUUGCUAUUCCUUUGCCUUCUAAGAGCACCUGGCCUAUACUCUGCUGUUUCCAUGAUACUGAGUUUGUAUCAUUAGUCUGCAAUAAUAAACACUCACUUCUUUUC